GUGCUCGCUUCAGCAGCACAUAUACUAAAAUUGGAACGAUACAGAGAAGAUUAGCAUGGAAGAUUAUCAAAUAGUAAUUGUAUAUAGCUAUAAUCAGAUCAUAUUUAU